UCUCCCCUUUGAGAAGUGGCCUGAAGUAUGUUCCGAGAAUGACAAUUAAGAGGAAGCUUUACAUCCCCGGCCACAACAGCACCAGGUUACAGCAGACUUGACUCAGCUUCCUGACUUGGCGCACUGAAGCCUGAAGCUUCUCUUUUCAAACCGGAGUUUAUUGUCGGGAUUGAUCACUUUAAUAAAAAGAGGUCCUUGACUCAGACGUCUUUCUCUCAAAGAUCUGUUACUAGACUGCAGAGCUACUUAACAAUAGGAAGUAAGCGUUGUAAUUAGAGAAGGAACCUUGCCUGGACUAAGGUCAUUAUUGGAGAAACUCUAUCUUCAAUCUGAGUUCAAAAUCUGCAAUUCCAUGCUCUCAGGCAAGACCAAACCAACUGAAUAUCAACAAGAAGACUAAUCAGGAGUUUCAGUCAUUGAAACUUUGCCUAGGCUCCAGAGAUCGAGCUUCCAGCAUCAGAGCUCAUUGACUGUUUUGCAAGUCAAGGCAAAGAAUGAAUUGUGGGGGCUCAGCAGCAUUCACUGCUUCAGACAAUUUCACAAUCUGUACAGAAGGCAGCAUCAGGUGAGGAGCAGGUCAUAGCAAUAAAAAUGCAAUUUUUAUAAUGUCAAUUUGCUAAAAUUACUGCAUACAGCAUACAGAGCAG
rnacentral:lncRNA from 1 species